rnacentral:lncRNA from 1 species
AUGAUUUCUAAGAGACCCUGGAAAGAAAUAUUGCUGCUAAUGAACUGAGGUGACAUAGGACAAUGCAGAGUUGAAGAGAGGAUAAUUUCUCCUUGUCUGCACAGAACGCAGCACACCUUCAGCCCUUCAAAGACGGGCAGCUUUGGCUGCACCCCUGGGCAGUUCCCUGGGUAUGCACAUUGAUGCAAUUAUAAUGUCCUCGCUAUGAGAUUUCCCACCACCCACGCUGGUGUUCACAUCUAGCGGCAUCACAGAGAGGUAGAACUAAAGGGAAGAAGUUGAUGGAUGCCAUCUGGUAUUGCAGAUGAUGACAGGUUUUCUCAGCUAUGAAGAGGAAAACUAACAGAUUCCUGAGUCAGCAACACAACCUGCUUGAGAAUGAGGACAACACAGAACAGAGCAUAACUGAGACAUGGGAAAAAUAGCUUUCAGAUCUAUAAAAAAGAAGAGGAAACAUACAUGGUUUAAGGUACUGCAGGAACAUAGAAUUAACAAGCAAAAAUCCAGAAGGCAGCAAAAACCAAGCAGUGUGGCCGAAUCAUUAGACCGGCGAGAGGUGAGAAGAAACAUACGAAAAAGGAAAAAAGAGGGGAAAAGACUGGAAACAUUAAUUGGGGUCAUAUUGAUAUCAUAUUGAGAAGUUUGAACAUUUUCCUAUAAACAUUGGUUCCCAAAUUAUUCAUAAAUUAGGAGCCCUUUUUUCCCAUCAGAAAUAAUUGUGAGCUUAGUGUGCUUAUAUUGCUCGGGCAGCAUCCUCCCCUUUGGGUAGCUAACCUUUCCACUUUCUAUUGGAAAAACCAAGCGACUUCAUUCCUCCCAUCCCUAAUUACCAACCCCAGUAUAUAUUCCAUGAUUAAAAAAGUAAACCAGACCCUUCUCUAGGCCUUUCCUUUUUUCUUUUCUUUUUUUUUUUUUUUCAAGCUGGAGCAGUAGUGAGGAAAAGUGCUCUCUUAAACUUGAAUUAGAAGCUAUAAGGACAAUGUAAGCUGGAACUCUUUGCAACCAUAUUUCCAACCAUAUAAAGAAAGCCUUCUACACUAGGCCAGUGAAGACUGAGAAGCAGAGCUCAAAUAA